CCUACGGGAGGCAGCAGUGAGGAAUAUUGGUCAAUGGACGCAAGUCUGAACCAGCCAUGCCGCGUGCAGGAAGACGGCUCUAUGAGUUGUAAACUGCUUUUGUACGAGGGUAAACGCAGAUACGCGUAUCUGUCUGAAAGUAUCGUACGAAUAAGGAUCGGCUAACUCCGUGCCAGCAGCCGCGGUAAUCCGGAGGAUUCAAGCGUUAUCCGGAUUUAUUGGGUUUAAAGGGUGCGUAGGCGGUCGGAUAAGUUAGAGGUGAAAUCCCGAGGCUCAACUUCGGAAUUGCCUCUGAUACUGUUCGGCUAGAGAGUAGUUGCGGUAGGCGGAAUGUAUGGUGUAGCGGUGAAAUGCUUAGAGAUCAUACAGAACACCGAUUGCGAAGGCAGCUUACCAAGCUACUUCUGACGUUGAGGCGCGAAAGCGUGGGGAGCGAACAGGAUUAGAUACCCGGGUAGUG
rnacentral:rRNA from 1 species